CGCAACUUGCGCCCUCUGGUAUUCCGGAGGGCAUGCCUGUUUGAGUGUCAUGUAGACUCAUCUAAUCAGAUUUUUCUGAUCAAGGUGGAUUUGGGAGCUGCCUUUGUUGGCUCUCCUUAAAAGCAUUGUGCAGACGUAAUAAGUUUCGUCGUACGCAUAAACUACAUCUUUGUACUCUGACCUCAAAUCAGGUAGGGCUACCCGCUGAACUUAA
rnacentral:misc_RNA from 1 species